CAGUCGCCGCGGUAAUACGUAGGGUGCGAGCGUUAAUCGGAAUUACUGGGCGUAAAGCGUGCGCAGGCGGUUGUGUAAGACAGGUGUGAAAUCCCCGGGCUUAACCUGGGAACUGCGCUUGUGACUGCACAGCUAGAGUAUGGCAGAGGGUGGUGGAAUUCCACGUGUAGCAGUGAAAUGCGUAGAGAUGUGGAGGAACACCGAUGGCGAAGGCAGCCCCCUGGGCCAAUACUGACGCUCAUGCACGAAAGCGUGGGGAGCAAACAGGAUUAGAUACCCGGGUAGUCCCUGUCUCUUAUAC
rnacentral:rRNA from 1 species